rnacentral:tRNA from 1 species
GCUCGGAUGGCGGAAUUGGUAGACGCAGUGGACUCAAAAUCCACCGGGCUUUACGCCUGUGCGAGUUCGACUCUCGCUCCGAGCACCA